CAAAUUGAGAGUUUGAUCCUGGCUCAGGAUGAACGCUGGCGGCGUGCCUAAUACAUGCAAGUCGAACGCUUUGUGGUUCAACUGAUUUGAAGAGCUUGCUCAGAUAUGACGAUGGACAUUGCAAAGAGUGGCGAACGGGUGAGUAACACGUGGGAAACCUACCUCUUAGCAGGGGAUAACAUUUGGAAACAGAUGCUAAUACCGUAUAACAAUGACAACCGCAUGGUUGUUAUUUAAAAGAUGGUUCUGCUAUCACUAAGAGAUGGUCCCGCGGUGCAUUAGCUAGUUGGUAAGGUAAUGGCUUACCAAGGCGAUGAUGCAUAGCCGAGUUGAGAGACUGAUCGGCCACAAUGGGACUGAGACACGGCCCAUACUCCUACGGGAGGCAGCAGUAGGGAAUCUUCCACAAUGGGCGAAAGCCUGAUGGAGCAACGCCGCGUGUGUGAUGAAGGGUUUCGGCUCGUAAAACACUGUUGUAAGAGAAGAAUGACAUUGAGAGUAACUGUUCAAUGUGUGACGGUAUCUUACCAGAAAGGAACGGCUAAAUACGUGCCAGCAGCCGCGGUAAUACGUAUGUUCCAAGCGUUAUCCGGAUUUAUUGGGCGUAAAGCGAGCGCAGACGGUUAUUUAAGUCUGAAGUGAAAGCCCUCAGCUCAACUGAGGAAUUGCUUUGGAAACUGGAUGACUUGAGUGCAGUAGAGGAAAGUGGAACUCCAUGUGUAGCGGUGAAAUGCGUAGAUAUAUGGAAGAACACCAGUGGCGAAGGCGGCUUUCUGGACUGUAACUGACGUUGAGGCUCGAAAGUGUGGGUAGCAAACAGGAUUAGAUACCCUGGUAGUCCACACCGUAAACGAUGAGUGCUAGGUGUUUGAGGGUUUCCGCCCUUAAGUGCCGCAGCUAACGCAUUAAGCACUCCGCCUGGGGAGUACGACCGCAAGGUUGAAACUCAAAGGAAUUGACGGGGACCCGCACAAGCGGUGGAGCAUGUGGUUUAAUUCGAAGCAACGCGAAGAACCUUACCAGGUCUUGACAUCCCUUGACAACUCCAGAGAUGGAGCGUUCCCUUCGGGGACAAGGUGACAGGUGGUGCAUGGUUGUCGUCAGCUCGUGUCGUGAGAUGUUGGGUUAAGUCCCGCAACGAGCGCAACCCUUAUUACUAGUUGCCAGCAUUCAGUUGGGCACUCUAGUGAGACUGCCGGUGACAAACCGGAGGAAGGUGGGGAUGACGUCAAAUCAUCAUGCCCCUUAUGACCUGGGCUACACACGUGCUACAAUGGCGUAUACAACGAGUUGCCAACCCGCGAGGGUGAGCUAAUCUCUUAAAGUACGUCUCAGUUCGGAUUGUAGGCUGCAACUCGCCUACAUGAAGUCGGAAUCGCUAGUAAUCGCGGAUCAGCACGCCGCGGUGAAUACGUUCCCGGGUCUUGUACACACCGCCCGUCACACCAUGAGAGUUUGUAACACCCAAAGCCGGUGGGGUAACCUUCGGGAGCCAGCCGUCUAAGGUGGGACAGAUGAUUAGGGUGAAGUCGUAACAAGGUAGCCGUAGGAGAACCUGCGGCUGGAUCACCUCCUUU
rnacentral:rRNA from 3 species